rnacentral:rRNA from 1 species
GACGAACGCUGGCGGCGUGCUUAACACAUGCAAGUCGAACGGUAAGGCCCUUCGGGGUACACGAGUGGCGAACGGGUGAGUAACACGUGGGUGAUCUGCCCUGCACUUCGGGAUAAGCCUGGGAAACUGGGUCUAAUACCGGAUAGGACCCUGGGAUGCAUGUCCUGGGGUGGAAAGCUUUUGCGGUGUGGGAUGGGCCCGCGACCUAUCAGCUUGUUGGUGGGGUGAUGGCCUACCAAGGCGACGACGGGUAGCCGGCCUGAGAGGGUGACCGGCCACAAUGGGACUGAGAUACGGCCCAGAGUACUACGGGGGGCAGGAGUGGGGAAUAUUGCUCAAUGGGCGAAAGCCUGAUGCAGCGACGCCGCGUGAGGGAUGACGGCCUUCGGGUUGUAAACGUCUUUCAGCACCGACGAAGCGCAAGUGACGGUAGGUGCAGAAGAAGGACCGGCCAACUACGUGCCAGCCGCCGCCGUAA